rnacentral:rRNA from 1 species
UACAGAGGGUGCGAGCGUUAAUCGGAAUUACUGGGCGUAAAGGGUGCGUAGGUGGAUAGUCAAGUCAAAGGUGAAAGCCCUGGGCUCAACCUGGGAAUUGCCUGUGAAACUGACUGUCUAGAGUAGAGUAGAGGGGAGUGGAAUUUCCGGUGUAGCGGUGAAAUGCGUAGAGAUCGGAAGGAACACCAGUGGCGAAGGCGAACUCUCUGGACUCAUACUGACACUGAGGCACGAAAGCGUGGGUAGCAAACAGG